UACAGAGGUCUCAAGCGUUGUUCGGAUUCAUUGGGCGUAAAGGGUGCGUAGGUGGCGCGCUAAGUCAGGUGUGAAAUUUCGGAGCUUAACUCCGAAACUGCAUUUGAUACUGGCGUGCUUGAGGACUGGAGAGGAGACUGGAAUUUACGGUGUAGCAGUGAAAUGCGUAGAUAUCGUAAGGAAGACCAGUGGCGAAGGCGAGUCUCUGGACAGUUACCGACGCUGAGUCACGAAGGCCAGGGGAGCAAACGGG
rnacentral:rRNA from 1 species